AAAAAGGCCAACACAGCCCAGCUAAAAACAUAAGUCCUCAGGCCUAAGUCAGGCCCCUUAAAACUGCACCUAAGUCAGAUCCUUCUUAGAAAUUCCUAAGGCUCAAUGCUGUGUGGAAGAUUCUGAGAAAGAAAAUAGUUUCCGAUCUUUGGGAUUCCCGAGAUGGUCCAAUCUGCAAAAAGUUCAUUGCCAUUUCCAUCAAGGACACUGAGAACAAGAGUCUUAUCCGGAUUGGAUCCUGGGAAUUGAGAAGCUUCAGCAGGGCUUCCGCUGGGACUAGGAUCAGGAUGUGGACACCCCCAACCUGGACCGUCUGG
rnacentral:lncRNA from 1 species